GUAUAAGGCUGGGGCGAAGCGAGGCGGGAAGAGCUCAAAUUUAUAAUCUGGCACCUUCGGUGUCCGAGUUGUAAUCUCUAGAAAUGUUUUCCGCGUUGGACCGCACACAAGUCUGUUGGAAUACAGCGGCAUAGUGGUGAGACCCCCGUAUAUGGUGCGGACGCCCAGCGCUUUGUGAUACAUUUUCGAAGAGUCGAGUUGUUUGGGAAUGCAGCUCAAAUUGGGUGGUAAAUUCCAUCUAAAGCUAAAUAUUGGCGAGAGACCGAUAGCGAACAAGUACCGUGAGGGAAAGAUGAAAAGCACUUUGGAAAGAGAGUUAACAGUACGUGAAAUUGUUGGAAGGGAAACGCUUGAAGUCAGACUUGCUUGCCGAGCAAUCGGUUUGCAGGCCAGCAUCAGUUUUCCGGGAUGGAUAAUGGUAAAGAGAAGGUAGCAGUUUCGGCUGUGUUAUAGCUCUCUACUGGAUACAUCCUGGGGGACUGAGGAACGCAGUGUGCCUUUGGCGGGGGUUUCGACCUCUUCACACUUAGGAUGCUGGUGGAAUGGCUUUAAACGACCCGUCUUGAAACACGGACCAAAA
rnacentral:rRNA from 1 species